CCUAAGGGAAGUGUGGAACACCAUCAUGUGGUCAACUCCAAUGUCAAAGUAAGAAGAAGGAGUAUAAGAGAACUUAACCUACUGUGUCUGAGUGAGAAAGAAAAAAUCUGUAUACUCUCAUAAGUAGUAAGGCAACUGGAGCAGCAAUCAAAAAAAAAAAAAAUCCUAGAACAAAGACCAGGAACACAUGCAUAACUCAUAAGCACUGUACAAUUCUACUCAAUGUUGAAUGAAGAAUUAACAAUUCUCAAACAAUUCCAAAUAAGUGAAGAAGAGGAAACAACAAAAAACAAUUGUAUGAUACCACCCUUAGUCUGACACCACCCAAGCAAAUAUAUGACAAGGAAACAAAAGUGUAAGAUAUUAUUCGUGAUAAACACUGAUGCAAAAGCCCUCAACAAAAUACUAGGAAACCAAAUUGUAAAGACAUUAACAGGAUUAUAGUCCAUGACCAAGUGGACUACACACUGGGAAGACAAGAGUGGUUCAACAGAAGAAAGUCAAUGUAAUACACCACACUGACAUGGUGAAGGACCAAAACCACAUGCUCAUCUCAAUCGGUGCAAAAAAAAGUUAUUUGACAAAAUUCAACAUAGUUCAUGAUAAAAAUGCUCAACAAUUCGGGCACGGUGGCUCACUCAGCAGUACUCUUAAACGCCAAUAAUGUUCAAGCUGAGAAACACAUCAUCAAGAAUGCAAUCCUAUUAAAAAUAGCCACACCCCCCAAAAAAUGACUAGGAGUAUGUCUAACCAAGGUUGUGAACUAUCUCUAUGAGGAGAACUACAAAAUACCAGUGAAAGAAAUCAGACAACACGAACAAAUGGAAAAGCAUUUCAUGCUCAUGGGUUGAAAGAAUCAAUAUCAAUGAAAUGUCCAAACUGCCCAAAGCAAUCUAUAGAUUCAACAGUAUUCCUAUUAAAUGACCAACAUCACUUUUCACAGAAUUAGAAAAAACUUCUAAAAUGUAUAUGAAAGCAAAAAAGAGCUCAAAGAGCCAAGACAAUCCUAAGCAAAAGGAAUAAAGCUGGAUGCAUCACAUUACCUGACUUCAAACCAUAUUGCAAGGCUACAGUAAACAAAACAGCAUGGUACUGGUAUAAAAACAGACACAUAUACCAAUGGAAUAGAACAGAGACCCCUAAAAUAAAGGCCCACACCUCCAACCAACUGAUCUUCAAGAAAAUCAACAAAAAUAAACAAUGAGGAAAGGAUACCCUAUUCAAUAAGUGGUGCUGGGAAAACUGGCUAAACAUAUGCAGAAGAAUGAAACUGGAUCCCUAUCUCUCACCAUAUAAAAAAAUUAACUUGAGAUGGAUUAAAUACUUAAUAUAAGACCUCCAACUAUAAAAAUCUUAAAA
rnacentral:lncRNA from 1 species